rnacentral:rRNA from 1 species
AUUGAACGCUGGCGGCAGGCCUAACACAUGCAAGUCGAGCGAGCGGCGGACGGGGGAGUAAUGUAUGGGGACUGCCCGAUAGAGGGGGAUAACUACGGGAAACGGUAGCUAAUACCGCAUACUAUCGGAUAACCCAUAUGGGAUUAGCUAGUAGGUGAGGUAAGGGCUCACCUAGGCGACGAUCCCUAGCUGGUCUGAGAGGAUGAUCAGCCACACUGAGACUGAGACACGACCCAUACUCCUACGGAGGCAUCAGUGGGGAAUAUGGCACAAUGGGCGCAAGCCUGAUGCAGCCAUGCCGCGUGUAUGAAGAAGGCCCUAGGGUUGUAAAGUACUUUCAGGCGGGAGGCGUUACCGACAGAAGAAGCACCGGAUAACACCGUGACAGCAGCCGCGGUAAUUC